GAGCUAAGCCAUGUACAAAAUAUAGCAAUCAAAAUCUUGGAUGAUUUUGAUAAGAAUUUUCAGCACAGGGAUGUGAUGUAAAUUCUGGUGCGUUAAGUAUUUUGGGGGUGGCGAAGGGA
rfam:Kangiella koreensis DSM 16069, complete genome.